rnacentral:rRNA from 1 species
GAUGAACGCUAGCGGCAGGCUUAAUACAUGCAAGUCGAGGGGUAGCAAGAUUGUAGCAAUACAAUUGUUGACGACCGGCAAACGGGUGCGGAACACGUACACAACCUUCCUACAAGUGGGGAAUAGCCCAGAGAAAUUUGGAUUAAUACCCCGUAACAUAGCGAUGUGGCAUCACAUUGCUAUUAUAGCUUCGGCGCUUGUUGAUGGGUGUGCGGCUGAUUAGAUAGUUGGCGGGGUAACGGCCCACCAAGUCUACGAUCAGUAGCUGAUGUGAGGGCAUGAUCAGCCACACGGGCACUGAGACACGGGCCCGACUCCUACGGGAGGCAGCAGUAAGGAAUAUUGGACAAUGGACGCAAGUCUGAUCCAGCCAUGCCGCGUGAAGGAUUAAGGUCCUCUGGAUUGUAAACUUCUUUUAUAAGGGACGAAAAAAGGUCUUUCUAGAUCGUCUGACGGUACCUUAUGAAUAAGCACCGGCUAACUCCGUGCCAGCAGCCGCCGCGGUAA